UGGGGAAUAUUGCGCAAUGGGCGAAAGCCUGACGCAGCCACGCCGCGUGGGUGAUGACGGCCUUCGGGUUGUAAAGCCCUGUCGAGGGGGAAGAAAAAAAUGACGGUACCCCUCAAGAAAGCACCGGCUAACCCUGUGCCAGCAGCCGCGGUAAUACAGGGGGUGCAAGCGUUGCUCGGAAUCACUGGGCGUAAAGCGAACGCAGGCGGACCAUCAAGUCAGGGGUGAAAUCCCGAGGCUCAACCUCGGAACUGCCUUUGAAACUGGUGGUCUUGAGUACGGGAGAGGUGAGUGGAAUUCCUGGUGUAGAGGUGAAAUUCGUAGAUAUCAGGAGGAACACCGGUGGCGAAAGCGGCUCACUGGCCCGAUACUGACGCUCAUGUUCGAAAGCGUGGGGAGCAAACAGG
rnacentral:rRNA from 1 species